rnacentral:rRNA from 1 species
CACGUAGUUAGCCGGAGCUUCCUCCUCUGCUACCGUCAUCAUCUUCACAGAGGACAGAGGUUUACAAUCCGAAAACCGUCUUCCCUCACGCGGCGUUGCUGGUUCAGGGUUUCCCCCAUUGACCAAUAUCCCUUACUGCUGCCUCCCGUAGGAGUCUGGGCCGUGUCUCAGUCCCAAUGUGGCCGUUCAACCUCUCAGUCCGGCUACCGAUCGUCGGCUUGGUGGGCCGUUACCCCACCAACUACCUAAUCGGACGCGAGCCCAUCUUUCAGCGGAUUGCUCCUUUGAUUAUCCUACCAUGCGAUAAGAUAAUGUCAUGCGGUAUUAGCGUUCGUUUCCAAACGUUAUCCCCCUCUGAAAGGCAGGUUGCUCACGCGUUACUCACCCGUCCGCCACUAAGAUAUCCAAGAUUCAUUACCGAAGUACUUCAUCAGCGAAUAUCUCCGUUGACCUUGCAUGUAUUAGGCACGCCGCCAGCGUCGUCUGAGCCAGGACUCAAAC